UACGGGGGGCAGCAGUGGGGAAUCUUGCACAAUGGGCGCAAGCCUGAUCCAGCAAUGCCGCGUGAAUGAAGAAGGCCUUCGGGUUGUAAAGCUCUGUUGUCCGGAAAGAAAUCCUUGGCUUUUAUACGGGAGGGUGAUGACGGUACCGGAAGAAUAAGCACCGGCUAACUUCGUGCCAGCAGCCGCGGUAAUACGUAGGGGGCAAGCGUUAUUCGGAAUUACUGGGCGUAAAGCGUGCGUAGGCGGUUGUAUAAGUCAGAUGUGAAAUCCCGGGGCUCAACUUCGGAACUGCCUUUGAUACUGUAUAUCUUGAGUACGGUAGAGGUAAGUGGAAUUCCGAGUGUAGCGGUGAAAUGCGUAGAUAUUAGGAGAACACCAGUGGCGAAGGCGCUCACUUGGUCAGUACUGACGCU
rnacentral:rRNA from 1 species